rnacentral:rRNA from 1 species
AUUGAACGCUGGCGGCAGGCCUAACACAUGCAAGUCGAGCGGAUGAAGGGAGCUUGCUCCUGGCUUCAGCGGCGGACGGGUGAGUAAUGCCUAGGAAUCUGCCUGGUAUUGGGGGAUAACGUCCGGAAACGGGAGCUAAUACAGCAUACGUCCAGAGGGAGAACGUGAGGGAUCUUCGGACCUCACGCUAUCAGCUGACCCUAGGUCGGAUUAGCUAGUUGGUGGGGUAAAGGCCUACCAAGGCGACGAUCCGUAACUGGUCUGAGAGGAUGAUCAGUCACACUGGAACUGAGACACGGUCCAGACUCCUACGGGAGGCAGCAGUGGGGAAUAUUGGACAAUGGGCGAAAGCCUGAUCCAGCCAUGCCGCGUGUGUGAAGAAGGUCUUCGGAUUGUAAAGCACUUUAAGUUGGGAGGAACGGCAGUAAGUUAAUACCUUGCUGUUUUGACGUUACCAACAGAAUAAGCACCGGCUAACUUCGUG